UGAGGAAUAUUGGUCAAUGGGCGCAAGCCUGAACCAGCCAUCCCGCGUGAAGGAAGAAGGCCCUACGGGUUGUAAACUUCCUUUCUGUUUGAAGAACAAGCUCGUCGAGACGAGUGAUGCCGGUAGGACAGGAAUAAGCAUCGGCUAACUCCGUGCCAGCAGCCGCGGUAAUACGGAGGAUGCAAGCGUUAUCCGGAUUUAUUGGGUUUAAAGGGUGCGCAGGUGGUUUAAUAAGUCAGUGGUGAAAGUCUGGCGCUUAACGUUAGGAUUGCCAUUGAUACUGUUAGACUUGAAUAUGGAUGAGGUAGGCGGAAUGUGUAGUGUAGCGGCGAAAUGCUUAGAUAUUACACAGAACACCGAUUGCGAAGGCAGCUUACUAAUCCAUCAUUGACGCUGAGGCACGAAAGCGUGGGGAUCAAACAG
rnacentral:rRNA from 1 species